rnacentral:snoRNA from 1 species
UCUCCACUCGGCGUGGCAUAAAGCAAAUGAAGAAAGAGAGAGCGAGGAAAGGAAAGAGAGAGGGAAACAACGAAUGGCAGUCGCGGCGCC